ACUUUUUGUAAAGUGAUUUUAAAGACGACAGGAUGAAGGGAAUGUGUCCGAGGAUGGAGAGAAGAAGAGAAAUGCAGAGGGGAGGGCGUGAGCUCACCAAGACUGAAAGCUAAUCGAAGGCCGAAGAAAAUAACUUGUUUACUGUGACGGGUGAAUGGACACUGCACGCACAGUGAUGCAAUGACAAGCAGCGUGACAGCGUGACGUAGUGACAGCAUGACAGCGUGACAGAGUAACAGUAUGACAGUGUCACAUAGGAGCAGUGUGACUGCGUAGGUCUGUUUCACACUGACUGUUCUGCCACCAGGACAUCAACAACACCACCAAGCCUCGGGGCCCAGGAGAGACACGAUGAGAACUCUGCUUCUCUGCUGAACAGCGAUACACAAAUCCGGUUCCUGGGAGCGGGUUUGGGAUUUGGGAAAUCCAUGCUUAUCUGCCUUCUCUUUCUAAAUUCCAAAUCCGAAAUGCCAGCUUCAGGAAUCAGUGACUUUUCUUUGCUUUCUCUAUUUAUUUGGCCCCAGUAUUUGAUACCCCACGCACACCACUCACAGACACAGAGCAGUCCUUUCACUUUUACAGACAGCAGUGUUGACACACACAGAAACAAAACAGGGUGCAAUAUAUUGAAGAAAAAAAAGUGAAAUAUAUGGAUUCAUAUAUUUAUAUCAAAUUUAUAUUUAUAUAUCUAUAUUUAUAUCAAAUAUAAUGUAUAACAUGUAUAAAACAAUAUGUCAAUAUUUGAAAAUAUAUUGCAAAGUAUAUGACAUAUAUUAAAAUAUAUUGGUAAAUAUAUUUCACAUGCACACAAAGUGGCAUUUGUCUGUGUAUCGUUCCGUAUAUAUUUGACUUUGUAAAGUCAAACGAAUCAAUAUACUGUGAUUGAUCCAAUAUUAAUUAUUGCUGUGUUGUAUAUGCAAAUAUAAAGAUGUUGGAGACAUAUUGGCAAACCAAAAGCAACACAAAAAUAUAUUAGAUAUUAGAUUAUUUAGUUAUUUUAAUUUAAAAUUAGAAAAAAAAGCAACAAAACCAAAUAGCAAAUCCUGACUAAGAUUAUUAUAUUUCUUGAUUUGAUUCAAAUUUCUUGUUUUCCAAAUUUUAUUUACAAGGGAAAAAAAUGAAUUAAGAUGAUUGGAUGAUUCUGGCAAUCCAAUAUUCUCGCCUUGGACGGUUGCAAGAGAACUAAUAGAAGUUUUGAUGAUUCAAUUGACCAGAGCCACAGCCUGCGGGGGCUGGAUGCAGACACGAUUGAUUCCUCGCGAAAAACAAAACAGCAGGUUGCUUUUCUACAGAUGACUUGUGCCUCCAGUGGGAUCCUUGUAAUUUGAGGUUAAACUACAGCUCUUGUGGCUGCAGGCUGGAUGCUCCCUCUAGUGGAGGCUAUGUUAGAGCACUGUGGCUCCCCUAAUUACACUACAAAAGCAUGCCAGCGCAGGGCCACAGACACUUUCAAACGUGGAGGAUAUUUGAGCCCGUCAGUGAGAGAGUGAGAGGGCGAGAGAGAUCAGGCUGAUUUUGUGCCACUGGCAUGAGCUGAUGGCUCCCGACAAGCCGAUUGAAAAUCAUCUUUGAAAUCUCGUUGGGGUCGAAUUGCUCGGAUCAGAUGAUGUUGUCUUUGUUUUAAUUUCGCGAGCUGGUUUAGAUAGCGGGCUGGUAUCUGCUCAAGGGAGCGUUGACCAGGGUCCUCUCUCCGCGCUCCAUUAUAUUACCCAGUCCCCGGCCCGUGGGGGAGACAGAGAGAGGUUCAGAUAUAACCCCUGUUUGAAUCGGUGGAGUUACUGUGUGGCUGGUGAGUGCUGGAACAGGGACUCUGUAAAUAGUGUAUACAUUUCAGUGCAUCAUUAUAUAGAUGGAAUAGUUUUGUGACCAAUCAGCUGCUGCUCCCGGAGAGAUGAACCCCACAGACCUGGCACAGGGGGCUGCCGAGGGCAUCUUGUUUUAUUAUUAUUAUUAUUAUUAUUAUUAUUAAUAAACAGAAACCGCAGACCUCGACUCACAUAGACUAUGUUUUGCUGAACUGCUGAGUUUUUUGUCUAUGAAUGAGUUCAUGCAUGGAUUAAGUUAGGUAUUUAUUUUCAUGUACAAUUACCUGUUUUGUUGAAGUAGAUUUGUUUUUAACUAUAAUAAAUGGUUUCAUUUCAAGUGUCUGGGAUAGCAGUUUAUAACAUGGGGAGUUUCAGUCAAGACAAUACUCUCUCCGAGGGAAACUGCGCCUUGGUCACUUUAUAGGUAAUAUAAGAUAAAAGAAUAUUCAUUAUAUCUAGAUAUUUAUUAAUAAAAAAGAAAUGUUUAAAAAAAAUAGUUUUUAGUGUUGUCCAGACGAUUUCUCAUUUCUGUUUUUCUUGAGUAUACCUGUAACUAAUGUUGUUGCUAAUGCGACCAAUUGAGAAUUUAUAAAUCUGUAGAAGUUGAGAAUGCUGCUAAUCUAUAUAGUUUCAUUUAUACUGUAUACAGAAAAAAGAAAAAAAAGGGUUGACGUAUAUACAUAUCAGCAACAGGAGCUACAGAUACAGAGGGCAGGCUGGGGAAGCUGGUACACACACACACACAGAGGUGCAGAGAACUCACACACACACAGAGGUGCAGAGAACUCACACACACACAGAGGUGCAGAGAACUCACACACACACACACACACAGAGGUGCAGAGAACUCACACACACACACAGAGGUGCAGAGAACUCACACACACACACACACAGAGGUGCAGAGAACUCACACACACACACACACACAGAGGUGCAGAGAACUCACACACACACACACACACACAGAGGUGCAGAGAACUCACACACACAGACGUGCAGAGAACUCACACACACACACACACAGACGUGCAGAGAACUCACACACACACACACAGACGUGCAGAGAACUCACACACACACACACACACAGACGUGCAGAGAACUCACACACACACAGAGGUGCAGAGAACUCACACACACACACACACACACACACACACAGAGCUGCAGAGAACUCCCUUCCGCCAUCUAUUGCUAAUGAUUUACAAUCUAAUACAUUCAAUCAGUAGCUGAAGCCAAGUUCAAUAUUGCUGAUGAGCAGCAAGAAAUACCUGCGAGACAGAGAAGCCUGCCCCACCCCCCCGGACUGUGAUUGGCUACCUGAGCUUCUAUAAAAGGGCAGAACAAAAGCAGGCAUGGCUAACCCAUACAGUGUAUAUAUAGAUAGUUAACCCUAUCAGAUCUUAUCGAUUCCCCUGGACUUCUACCUUGUCUGUGUGGGUGUCCCUGUACGGUGUUUUAGAUAAGCAGUUCUCACUGGGAAUGAAUUAGCUCUGCAGAUACCAGACGCGCAGUGCUGUGUGCUGCACUGCCGUUACGGAUUCUCUCCCUUCGGUGAGAAGAGGUGCGCAGGGCCGCCGGUUCACACCCUGCCUCAAGUGCAAAGUGUUCAGACUUUUCUUUGAAUGCAUAUUUGAAGCAUCAGUGGACAGCGUUGUUUGUUCGUUCGUUCGUUUGUUUAAGCAGUCUGCAUUGACACGUAGGUGCAUGGGAAUUCCUGUCUCCCGGUUAAGAUGUGACUUGACUGCGAGACCGGGCGCGCGAGUGUGUGUGUGUGCGGCUCGCCGUAGCCUGUGAGAGAUGCAGUGAUUAUUUCAGCCACUAGGGCGGCGGUGUUCAGGUGCAUCAGAGACUUUAUAAACACUUACGUCACGUGUGUGUGGGCAGGGUUUGGGAGGUCAAGCAAGUUUAUUAUUCAUGGAAGCUGCACUAAAACUACUUUGCCCUACAGAUAUGGGUUUGGGAGUAAAGUAACCAUUUUGUAAGUUUAUGUCAGACCGAUCUGAAAAAAAAAGUGCAAUAUUUAAAUCUUGGUUUUAUUUGAAAAGAUAAUGUUAUAUAUAUAUAGGAGAAGAUAUGGGAGCUACUUUUCAGUUGUAAUUCAGGACACACCCCCUUCCAGGAUAUUAAGCUCCACCCCCCCACUCAGUUCUCCAAUCAGAGGAAACCUGCUGGCAUUCUCAGAACAUUCGAGUAACUCCUGCUGCACCUUCUCAUCUUUCAGUGGAGUCCCAUUAGUAAUCACCUGCUUCUCUCCCUCCCUCCUUACCACCCCAGUACUGUACACGUGCUUGUGAGAUCAUUCUGAGUAUUUGAUUAAAGACAAACGAGAGCUUCCAAAGCUGGGAUGCACUCUGCUAAAACUGCAAAAACCACAGCCAGGUAUUCCUCACGGGAUAUUGUCACUGACGACCGGAUUUCUGUUUGCAGAGAUUCCGAACAAAUGGGAUUGCUGCAUCAAUGAUACAAUAAUACAAGCUUAAUGUACAGGCUUCAGUCCUGUCCUAAGGUAAGAUGGACCCAUUGUGCUACACCAGGCAGAUGGGCACUGAUUGAAAAUCAAAUCACACUGUGUAAUACAAUUGCAGCGCAGUGGCUUUUUUGGAAUAUCAAUUUUUCUUUGCCUGCACAUCUUAUUCAGGACUUCCAACUUGCCUUCAAAGCAAAACAAAAAUGCAAAAAAACAUGUUAAAAAAAAAAAAAAGAAAAGAAAAAGGGCUGAAAAUGCAUUAAUAUUUUCUCUUUUCACCAUUGAAUUACACAAGAGUUUAGUCCUCUCCUGCAUGUGGGACGGUUCUGCCAGACCCAGUUAGGGGUCAAGUCAGAGUCCGAGCAGGGGCUUUCAAUGCAGAACUCCUUGCUAUCGGGAGUGGGGGACACCGGCCCAGCGCAGACACUUUCUCAUUCAUUUAUUCUGGGUUUGGUUUUCAGUUUCCAAACUCUGGAAGGGGUGUGGGGAGAGCAAAAGCUCCUCCUACAGUUUUAGCAGAGCGGCAGGCCAGUUUGUUUCAUCUUAAAAAAACGCAUGCAAAUGUCCUACAGAGGUAGUAGUUCUUAUUGAAGUGUGUUUAUCUGCAUACAGUAUUUGGUUGAUCGUUGUUGGAUUGUUUCCGUUUUGUUUCCUUUGGUUGGAGUUGUACAGCUAGGCUGUAGACAAACAUAUCAAGGGUUUGGAAAGCACAGGAUGGGAGACACAAGGGUGUCGCACCAAUUCUCUUAGGAUGCCCACCGAAACAGCACGGCCUUCUCCAAAUCAACACAUUCCCAAACUAAAAAUGGACAAAAUGAGGGCAACGCUCCACAGCAAGAAUCACGACCCAAUCUGUAGCCUGCAGUUCUCACUCAAAGAGGGGGAAGGCAGUCUGCCAACUACAGGAAAUGUCUUAAGUUAAACUCCUUCAUGACGAAGAAUAAAAUGUUUUAAAAAUAUAUAUAUAAUACUGUAUAUAAUUACAUAUGCUUUUUUUUCUAAUGUUGUAUUGGUAGUAUCGUAGACGCUGAGUGACUCUGCAAACAGUGCAUCUUAUCUCCAGUAUGAAUACAAGUGCUGCUUUCACCGAGAUGAGUGUCGAGUCGCAGCCUGCUAGCAUGUGCAUGCAUUUUUUUUACCAAUAGACCAAACUGCGACUGGUCAUUUGUGCGCAUGCAGUGAUAGGGAGGUGCAGGACCUGCGCUUUCUGACACACAAUUAUUUUAUUUUUAUAUAUAAUAUAUAUUCAUUUUUGUUAGUUGUGUUCAGUUACAAAAAAAAAAAAAAAAAAUUACAAUUCCCCCACCUUGGCCAUUAAAUGAGGGAGUUUAGCUUAGGAGUCACAUCACAUGUCGCUCGACAAUUUCCAAAAUGUCCUGGAACCCUCUCCCAUCCCGUACAGCCAACCAAAACCCAGAACGAGAGCCAAGACUGUCCUCUCCGGGUAUACCGGAGAGGCAGAUUUCCAACUGCUUGUUUGUUUUAUGUUUUAUUCACAGGUGUGUAAUACACAUUUUGUAUGAAUGUUUUCACAGUAGGGUCUCAUUUAGAGCACAGAAAAUAUUAUCUAAAGAACCACGACAUGUAGAUGUUUUAUGUUUUUAAAAAUGCGAGCGGGUUGUUUUCUGCUCUACCUUCUUAGGUGCAGUACUUCUGUAGACCUGUAGUGUUUCUUUGUGGUUUCAGUUCUUAUUGUGUGCAAUAUGCAAAUGGAAGAUCUGUAAAUAAAUCAAAAGAAAAAAAAAAGUGCUAGCUGAUGUGUUGGUGUGAGUUGAAUAUUUAAAAAAAAAAAAAAAAAAAAAGGGUUAUUCUUGAUUAUGUGUUAACUGAUAAAUAUAUAUAUAUAUAUAUA